UCCAACACUCAAAAGUAAAUAAAUCCAUAUGAAUAAUUUAGAAAAUCAUAACCACAAAGAAGUUUAAACAUAAUUAAACUAUGAUAUCAUUUAGUUAGAUCCAAAAUCCAUUAUGAUAUAUAAAACAUUAACUUUUAUUUAUAUAUGGUCACAUAAUAAGCGGUAAAUAGUAAUUUAGGCAUGAAUAAGCACAAAGGAUUUGAGGCUAAGUUCAAAGAUUGGACUAUAGAACACAACGGCUUCAUAAUUGUUAAUAGUUGAACCAUUUUUAGCGGAAAUAGUGAGAUGGUAGUCAGUCUCAAGACCAACUUUUUGGAUAUAACCAUCGACUAAUUUCUCGAAUCUCAGUUUUGCCCCAGUAAUUUGAUUGUUGUGCUCGAUAAUAGCAAACCCAGCCAUUUCGAUCACACGUGGAUCAUUGAUGUUGAUGCGUCUCAAAUUGUUUGGCGGUAUAGCUUGAUUCGUGGCAAAUGAGGCAAAAAGAACAGCGAGAAUAAGAACAAGGGAUUGAAAUCUCAUGAUGCUUGUAUUGUAAUUGUUAUCUUUUCAAACUUCACAAAUUGUGGUGGUGUGAGUAACCAUAGCCACUUCGGUUGUAAU
rnacentral:lncRNA from 1 species